rnacentral:rRNA from 1 species
GGGGAAUUUUCCGCAAUGGGCGAAAGCCUGACGGAGCAAUACUGCGUGAGGGAUGACGGCCUAUGGGUUGUAAACCUCUUUUAUCAGGGUAGGAAUCAAUGACGUGUACCUGAUGAAUAAGCAUCGGCUAACUCCGUGCCAGCAGCCGCGGUAAGACGGGGGAUGCAAGUGUUAUCCGGAAUCACUGGGCGUAAAGCGUCUGUAGGUGGUCCAAUAAGUCAACUGUUAAAUCUUGAGGCUCAACCUCAAAAUCGCAGUCGAAACUAUUAGACUAGAGUAUAGUAGGGGUAAAGGGAAUUUCCAGUGGAGCGGUGAAAUGCGUAGAGAUUGGAAAGAACACCGAUGGCGAAGGCACUUUACUGGGCUAUUACUAACACUCAGAGACGAAAGCUAGGGUAGCAAAUGGGAUUAGAUACCCCAGUAGUC